UGAAUUCAGUGGGCUCAUAUUUAAUUUUGUUCUUCCUAUGCAUUUCUAUUUCUCUUUUACUUUAUAAUAUUUUCUGGUUUCGAACAAAGUUUACCAACACUUCUGAUUUGGUUGCUUCCGUGGUUCCUUCUACUGUCUGCUCUUACCUGUGAGUUAAGUUUAAAUCUUUUGCUCCUCUUGCUUGGUCAUGUGUUGGCAAAUGUCAUGCUUGCAUUCAUCUAUAGUCGAGGAUCUUUUUUCAAAUUCAUAAAUUUGUUCCAUAUUUUUCUGGUAUGUGCUUAAUUUUGUUCAGCUAUGGUAAGCUUUUCUAUAUUCAGCCUUUUUUCUAAACGCAUCUUGUUAUUGCCAACGAAAUUUUGGUGGACAUCUGGUAGCUUUUUUGUUCUUUCGGACAUUAUCUUACUGGAUUUCACAUACAUGUUAGAACUUAUAUCGGGUUUGCCCUCUGAUGAACCUAAGGUGUUUGAGAAUAUGCCUAAUUAACCAACCGAUUGUUCUUAUUUUUUCUCAUUUAUUCGCGUUUUCUUAGAGUUUUGUUUUUAAUUUCUCUUUUCAAUUAUACAUUUGACAGUAAAUAUGAUAUCAUAAAUCUGUAGAUCAGUACUGCAAUUUGGAGUACGUUUCUGCUAAUAUCAAAAGCUCUGCAAGAUUAUCUCCAAAACACACGAUUUUUUACAACAUUCAAAUCUAUCAUUCAACAACUUAAAAGAGGCCGAGCCUUCUAGCAGUAGGAGAGAUGAAAAAAGUUAUAAUUGAGGUCCCUGAAGGUGGGAACUUAUUGAGAAAAUCUGGUCAAGCCGACGUGUGGCUGAAGCCACUGAUAGGCCCCGUGGAGAAGAAGAAGUUAGAAAGUCAUAGCUCACUGACUUUAAUGAAUGACAUUGUUCAUUCUUCUUUGAAGAUUAAUUUGAUUGGUACAGAAAUUAUAAAAAUAGUUUCUCAGGCAGACCAACACGUUGCGCACCGAGGCUGACAACUGGAAGGAACAAUUCGAAAGUCUUCAACUUUGGAGCGUCAAAUGAGGAUGGUUUCUGCCGAGUUAGCGGUUGAAAAAGCCUCUUCCAGUCAGGUUGGAAAGGACAAGGAUAUACUGGAAUCCCUUUUUGCUGAACAACUUUCCAAGGCAACUGAAGAGAUAAGGAGUUAAAAAAAACUCUUCAAUCAAAAAGAGGUUUACGCGAGAGAGUUGGUUCAGACACUUACCCAAGCUCAGGAAGAUCUCCACACCUCUACAGAUAAAAUUCAGUUCUUGGAAAGUUCUUUCGCUCCUUUGAAGUUAGCUUUUGAUGCCUCGGAAGCAGAGAAAGAAGAGUUGAGAGCUGAGAUUGACCAGUGGGAGAAGGAUUAUGAGGCUCUCAAGGAUAAGUUAUCGUUGGAUGUGAGUUGGGCCUUUUUGAACACUCGCCUCGAGACUCUAAUUGAAGCCAACCAAGAGGGUUUUGACCAUAAUGCUGAUAUUUCUAGGGCUAAAGAAGAAAUUGAUAAACUCAGCAACGUCAAAGCUUUUCCUCACCUGAAAACGAAGGUUCCAAAGGUGAUGGAGAUGGACUUGUUCCUGGCAGGGCUGAUGUUCAAGCCUUUUUUUUCUUAAGUUAACCCAUUUUUCUCCCGCUGAUGAUACUCCUUAUUUUUCUCCUUUCUCCUGUUUUUUCUUAGCUUUUAUUUGGAACAUCCUGAUGUUGUUUUUCCCUUAGCUUACCGACUCUUUUGGAAGGUUUGUUUUUGGUUACCCCUGUCUCCUUUUUAGAAUUUAAUGACAAAUUAGCACCCUUAUUUUUACAAGGUUUAAUAUACAAAUGUUUUGGCUGCUUUUGCCACA